rnacentral:rRNA from 1 species
UACGAAGGGGGCUAGCGUUGUUCGGAAUUACUGGGCGUAAAGCGUGCGCAGGCGGCUUCUCAAGUCAGGGGUGAAAGCCCAGAGCUCGACUCUGGAAUUGCCUUUGAGACUGAGUGGCUUGAGUACGGGAGAGGUGAGUGGAAUUCCCAGUGUAGAGGUGAAAUUCGUAGAUAUUGGGAAGAACACCGGUGGCGAAGGCGGCUCACUGGCCCGUAACUGACGCUCAUGCACGACAGCGUGGGGAUCAAACAGG